rnacentral:rRNA from 1 species
UAGAUAGGACACAGUACACCGAUAGCGAAGUCAGCUCACAAAAUUACAACGGACACUGAGGCACGAAAGCGUGGGUAUCAAACAGGAUUAGAUACCCUGGUAGUCCACGCUGUAAACGAUGAUCACUAGCUGUUUGCGAUACAUUGUAAGUGGUUAAGCGAAAGCGAUAAGUGAUCCACCUGGGGAGUACGUCGGCAACGAUGAAACUCAAAGGAAUUGACGGGGGCCCGCACAAGCGGAGGAGCAUGUGGUUUAAUUCGAUGAUACGCGAGGAACCUUACCUGGGCUUGAACGUAUGGUGCAUGAGUGUGAAAGCACUCUUUCCUUCACAGGACUUCAUACGAGGUGCUGCAUGGUUGUCGUCAGCUCGUGCCGUGAGGUGUUAGGUUAAGCCCUGCAACGAGCGCAACCCCUGUUUUUAGUUGCCAGCAGGUUAUGCUGGGCACUCUAGAAAGACUGCCUGCGCAAGCAGAGAGGAAGGUGGGGAUGACGUCAAAUCAGCACGGCCCUUACGUCCAGGGCUACACACGUGCUACAGUGGUCGGCACAGAGGGUGGCUACCCGGUAACGGGAUGCUAAUCUCCAAAGUCGAUCUUAGUUCGGAUCGAAGUCUGCAACUCGACUUCGUGAAGUUGGAUUCGCUAGUAAUCGUAUAUCAGCCAUGAUACGGUGAAUACGUUCCCGGGCCUUGUACACACCGCCCGUCAAGCCAUGGAAGUUGGGGGUACCUGAAGUCGAUUACCGAAAGGGAUUGCCUAGGGUAAACC